CCUACGGGAGGCAGCAGUCGGGAAUAUUGCGCAAUGGAGGAAACUCUGACGCAGUGACGCCGCGUGCAGGAAGAAGGUUUUCGGAUUGUAAACUGCUUUAGACAGGGAAGAAAAAAGACAGUACCUGUAGAAUAAGCUCCGGCUAACUACGGGCCAGCAGCCGCGGUAAUACGUAGGGAGCAAGCGUUAUCCGGAUUUAUUGGGUGUAAAGGGUGCGUAGACGGGGAAGCAAGUUAGUUGUGAAAUCACUCGGAUUAACUGAGGAACUGCAACUAAUACUACUUCCCUUGAGUACUGGAGAGGAAAGUGGAAUUCCUAGUGUAGCGGUGAAAUGCGUAGAUAUCGAGAGGAACACUCGUGGCGAAGGCGGGUUCCUGGACAUUAACUGACGCUGAGGCACGAAGGCCAAGGGAGCGAAAGGGAUUAGAUACCCCAGUAGUC
rnacentral:rRNA from 1 species